CCUACGGGAGGCAGCAGUGGGGGAUAUUGCACAAUGGGGGCAACCCUGAUGCCGCGACGCCGCGUGAGUGAAGAAGUAUUUCGGUAUGUAAAGCUCUAUCAGCAGGGAAGAAAAUGACAGUACCUGACCAAGAAGCCCCGGCGAACUACGUGCCAGCCGCCCCGGUAAUGCGUAGGGGGCACGCGUUAUCCGGCUUUACUGGGUGUAAAGGGACCGUAGACGGUUAUGUAAGUCUGGAGUGAAAGCCCGGGGCCCAACCCCGGGACUGCUUUGGAAACUGUGUGACUGGAGUACAGGAGGGGCAGGCGGAAUUACUGGUGUAGCGGUGAAAUGCGUAGAGAUCAGGAGGAACACCGGCGGCGAAGGCGGCCUGCUGGACUGAAACUGACGUGGAGGCUCGAAAGCGUGGGGAGCAAACAGGAUUAGAUACCCGGGUAGUC
rnacentral:rRNA from 1 species